AGAGUUUGAUCCUGGCUCAGAAUGAACGCUGGCGGCGUGCUUUACACAUGCAAGUCGAGCGAGGCCUGGGGGCAACCCCGGAGUCGAGCGGCGAACGGGUGAGUAACGCGUGGAUGACCUGCCCUUUAGUGGGGAACAACCAGGGGAAACUCUGGCUAAUACCGCAUAAGACCGAAAGGUGAAAGCGGGCCGCAAGGCUCGCGCUGAAGGAGGGGUCCGCGUCCGAUUAGCUAGUUGGUAGGGUAAUGGCCUACCAAGGCGACGAUCGGUAGCCGGCCUGAGAGGGUGAUCGGCCACACUGGAACUGAGACACGGUCCAGACUCCUACGGGAGGCAGCAGUGGGGAAUUUUGCGCAAUGGGCUAACGCCUGACGCAGCAACGCCGCGUGGAGGAUGAAGGUCUUUGGAUUGUAAACUCCUGUCAGCGGGGAAAAAGCGAGGCGACCUAAUACGUCGUCGAGUUGAUUGUACCCGCAGAGGAAGCCCCGGCUAACUCUGUGCCAGCAGCCGCGGUAAUACAGAGGGGGCAAGCGUUAUUCGGAAUUAUUGGGCGUAAAGGGCGCGUAGGCGGCUUUGCAAGUGGCGGGUGAAAUCCCUCGGCUUAACCGAGGAACUGCCUGCCAGACUGUGAGGCUUGAGACCGGGAGAGGUGAGUGGAAUUCCCAGUGUAGCGGUGAAAUGCGUAGAUAUUGGGAGGAACACCAGUGGCGAAGGCGGCUCACUGGACCGGAACUGACGCUGAGGCGCGAAAGCGUGGGGAGCAAACAGGAUUAGAUACCC
rnacentral:rRNA from 1 species